UGGGGAAUAUUGGACAAUGGGCGAAAGCCUGAUCCAGCCAUGCCGCGUGUGUGAAGAAGGUCUUCGGAUUGUAAAGCACUUUAAGUUGGGAGGAAGGGCAUUAACCUAAUACGUUAGUGUUUUGACGUUACCGACAAAAUAAGCACCGGCUAACUCUGUGCCAGCAGCCGCGGUAAUACAGAGGGUGCAAGCGUUAAUCGGAAUUACUGGGCGUAAAGCGCGCGUAGGUGGUUUGUUAAGUUGGAUGUGAAAUCCCCGGGCUCAACCUGGGAACUGCAUUCAAAACUGACUGACUAGAGUAUGGUAGAGGGUGGUGGAAUUUCCUGUGUAGCGGUGAAAUGCGUAGAUAUAGGAAGGAACACCAGUGGCGAAGGCGACCACCUGGACUAAUACUGACACUGAGGUGCGAAAGCGUGGGGAGCAAACA
rnacentral:rRNA from 1 species